UAUUCAGACUAAACGACCCCUAAAGGCUAAAGGGUUCAAACUUCAUUUGCGGCUAGGGUUUUCAUCAACCCUAGCAGCGCCCCUUGCUCCUCUCUCUCUCCUCUGCCAAUCCAUUGCCGGAAAUGGCAAAAUGGUAGAGGAUUCAGGCUCUUCAGUCCUUUCCAUGGCCAAAUAUGUCAGUGCAUUUAUUGCACCACCCCAUUUUUACCUAACAAAGCCCAAACGCGGUACUAUCCUCUCUUUUUUCUUGCUUUUACUGAUUUUGUGGUCAAAAUAUUGAGAACUCUUAAUUAGUUUUGUUGUUUUGCAUAUUUUGAAUGCUCGACUUUCAUUGGUCGAACCCUAAUCGGUUUGGAUCGAUGAAGAACAAAUCGAAUCAAGCCUUUUAUUUGUUAUUUGAAUCAAUCUCAACCGUUCAUGUGUUGAAUCAAAUAAAUGUGUCAAGAAUUUACACAAGUCCCACAUCGAUUAUUUUCUAGAUUUUCAACUAAUGUGGGAACCCUAUUUCUCAACAUUAGACACUUACAUACGCACAAAGCCUGAUAUUUGAGCAUUUAACUCGCAAUUUAGGCUAUCAGUUAAAUAUUUUUAUACUUAGCUCUUAAAAAGGGUUUAGUGUCUAGUCUUAAAGUUUUGUUUUCUUGUUUCUUGUUCUUGUGUGGUGGCUGAGUGGAAGUAAGGAAGCACUUGAAGGCUCCAAAUCCAUUCUUGAAGCUGGCUACACUUAAAAAAGGUCGGGUCAAAACAAAGUGUAUUGGGCUGGAAUUCCUUCAUAAUACAAUCGAGUCCAACGAAGGAAAGGGAAGCUAAUAUUGUACGUGAGCGCAUGAAGGCCCAGCCAUGGGUAAAAAUGGCCAACUAGAGGUAGACAAGGAGACGGUGCAGAUCCAUAGGAGCUAUCAGUGGAUUUACAGGAGCACUCUAUUAUUCCGAAGGUGCUAUUUGGUUCAUUAUUUUGUGUACAUAUUUGGGCACGGCGGGGUCCUGUCCCGUCCUCAUGUCUAGUAUUCUAAGAGGCUCGUAGAUAUAUAUGUGUAGGUAAUAUGGUCUCAUGUUUUCCUCAUUAUAUAUAUAUAUUAUUUUGA